UAACCUGUCCGUCAGCAUUACAGACUGA
rnacentral:piRNA from 1 species